UGGGUACGAGACGCUACGGCGUCGAAGCAGUCUAUGUCAUACUUCCAAGAAAAGCUCGCACUGUCAUAAACAAAUAAUGCCUGUACCAUAACCGACACAGGUGGGUAGGUAGAGUAUACUAAGGGGCGCGAGAUAACUCUCUCUAAGGAACUCGGCAAAAUGACUCCGUAACUUCGGGAGAAGGAGUGCCUUUUUUAAGGUUGCAAUAACCAGAUCCAAGCAACUGUUUAUCAAAAACACAGGUCUCCGCAAAGUCGUAAGACGAUGUAUGGGGGCUGACGCCUGCCCAGUGCCAGAAGGUUAAAGAAGUUGGUUAGUUUCGACGAAGCUGAUGACUGAAGCCCUGGUGAACGGCGGCCGUAACUAUAACGGUCCUAAGGUAGCGAAAUUCCUUGUCGGGUAAGUUCCGACCCGCACGAAAGGCGUAAUGAUUUGGAUACUGUCUCAGAGAGGGGCUCGGUGAAAUAGACUUGUCUGUGAAGAUGCGGACUACCUGCACCUGGACAGAAAGACCCUAUGAAGCUUUACUGUAACUUGAAAUUGAAAUUGGACUUUAUUUGCGCAGCAUAGGUGGGAGGCGUUGAAGAUAUUCUUGCGGGAAAAUUGGAGCCAUCAGUGAGAUACCACUCUUGUAAUGUUAGAUUUCUAACUUUGUAUCAUUAUCUGGUCAAAGAACAGUUUCAGGCGGGCAGUUUGACUGGGGCGGUCGCCUCCCAAACGGUAACGGAGGCGCACAAAGGUUUCCUCUGAACGGGUAGAAAUCGUAUCUAGAGUGUAAAGGCAUAAGAAAGCUUGACUGUGAGACCUACAAGUCGAGCAGGGACGAAAGUCGGUCUUAGUGAUCUGACGGUGCUGAGCGGAAAGGCCGUCACUCAACGGAUAAAAGUUACUCUAAGGAUAACAGGCUGAUCUCCCCCAAGAGUUCACAUCGACGGGGAGGUUUGGCACCUCGAUGUCGGCUCAUCGCAUCCUGGGGCGGUAGUACGUCCCAAGGGUUGGGCUGUUCGCCCAUGAAAGCGGUACGCGAGCUGGGUUCAGAACGUCGUGAGACAGUUCGGUCCAUAUCCGGUGUAGGCGUUAGAAUAUUGAGAGGAGCCUUCUUUAGUACGAGAGGACCGAGAAGGACAUACCUAUGGUGUACCAGUUAUCGUGCCAACGGUAAACGCUGGGUAGCUAUGUAUGGAGUGGAUAACCGCUGAAAGCAUCUAAGUGGGAAGCCCACCUCAAGAUAAC
rnacentral:rRNA from 1 species